GAUGGCGACCGGCGCACGGGUGAGUAACACGUAUCCAACCUGCCGAUAACUCGGGGAUAACCCUUCGAAAGAAGGCCUAAUACCCGAUGGCAUAUCCCUUCCGCCUGGUGGGGAUAUUAAAGAACUUCGGUUAUCGAUGGGGAUGCGUUCCAUUAGCUUGUUGGCGGGGUAACGGCCCACCAAGGCUUCGAUGGAUAGGGGUUCUGAGAGGAAGGUCCCCCACAUUGGAACUGAGACACGGUCCAAACUCCUACGGGAGGCAGCAGUGAGGAAUAUUGGUCAAUGGACGAGAGUCUGAACCAGCCAAGUAGCGUGAAGGAUGAAGGUCCUAUGGAUUGUAAACUUCUUUUAUACGGGAAUAAAGUGCAGUAUGCAUACUGUUUUGUAUGUACCGUAUGAAUAAGGAUCGGCUAACUCCGUGCCAGCAGCCGCGGUAAUACGGAGGAUCCGAGCGUUAUCCGGAUUUAUUGGGUUUAAAGGGAGCGUAGGCGGAUGCUUAAGUCAGUUGUGAAAGUUUGCGGCUCAACCGUAAAAUUGCAGUUGAUACUGGGCGUCUUGAGUACAGUAGAGGCAGGCGGAAUUCGUGGUGUAGCGGUGAAAUGCUUAGAUAUCACGAAGAACUCCGAUUGCGAAGGCAGCCUGCUGGACU
rnacentral:rRNA from 1 species